AAGAAGGGUUUCGGCUGGUAAAACUCUGUGUUAAAGAAGAACACCUUUGAGAGUAACUGUUCAAGGGUUGACGGUAUUUAACCAGAAAGCCACGGCUAAUUACGUGCCAGCAGCCGCGGUAAUACGUAGGUGGCAAGCGUUGUCCGGAUUUAUUGGGCGUAAAGCGAGCGCAGGCGGUUUUUUAAGUCUGAUGUGAAAGCCUUCGGCUUAACCGGAGAAGUGCAUCGGAAACUGGGAGACUUGAGUGCAGAAGAGGACAGUGGAACUCCAUGUGUAGCGGUGGAAUGCGUAGAUAUAUGGAAGAACACCAGUGGCGAAGGCGGCUGUCUAGUCUGUAACUGACGCUGAGGCUCGAAAGCAUGGGUAGCGAACAGGAUUAGAUACCCUGGUAGUCCAUGCCGUAAACGAUGAGUGCUAAGUGUUGGAGGGUUUCCGCCCUUCAGUGCUGCAGCUAACGCAUUAAGCACUCCGCCUGGGGAGUACGACCGCAAGGUUGAAACUCAAAGGAAUUGACGGGGGCCCGCACAAGCGGUGGAGCAUGUGGUUUAAUUCGAAGCUACGCGAAGAACCUUACCAGGUCUUGACAUCUUCUGCCAAUCUUAGAGAUAAGACGUUCCCUUCGGGGACAGAAUGACAGGUGGUGCAUGGUUGUCGUCAGCUCGUGUCGUGAGAUGUUGGGUUAAGUCCCGCAACGAGCGCAACCCUUAUUAUCAGUUGCCAGCAUUCAGUUGGGCACUCUGGUGAGACUGCCGGUGACAAACCGGAGGAAGGUGGGGAUGACGUCAAAUCAUCAUGCCCCUUAUGACCUGGGCUACACACGUGCUACAAUGGACGGUACAACGAGUCGCGAAGUCGUGAGGCUAAGCUAAUCUCUUAAAGCCGUUCUCAGUUCGGAUUGUAGGCUGCAACUCGCCUACAUGAAGUUGGAAUCGCUAGUAAUCGCGGAUCAGCAUGCCGCGGUGAAUACGUU
rnacentral:rRNA from 1 species